rnacentral:rRNA from 1 species
UACAGAGGUGACAAACGUUGUCCGGAAUUAUUGGGCGUAAAGGGCGCGUAGGUGGUUGAGUAAGUCAGGUGUGAAAGCUCUGGGCUUAACCCAGGAAUUGCAUCUGAUACUGCUCGGCUUGAGUACGGUAGAGGAGGGUGGAAUUCCCAGUGUAGCGGUGAAAUGCGUAGAUAUUGGGUGGAACACCGGUGGCGAAAGCGGCUCACUGGCUCGGUUCUGACGCUGAGGCGCGAAAGCGUGGGGAGCAAACAGG